GAUGAAGAACGCAGCGAAAUGCGAUAAGUAAUGUGAAUUGCAGAAUUCAGUGAAUCAUCGAAUCUUUGAACGCACAUUGCGCCCCCUGGUAUUCCGGGGGGCAUGCCUGUCCGAGCGUCAUUACAACCCUCAAGCUCAGCUUGGUGUUGGGCCCCGCCGCCCCGGCGGGCCCUAAAGUCAGUGGCGGUGCCGUCCGGCUCCGAGCGUAGUAAUUCUUCUCGCUCUGGAGGUCCGGUCGUGUGCUCGCCAGCAACCCCCAAUUUUUUUCAGGUUGACCUCGGAUCAGGUAGGGAUACCCGCUGAACUUAAGCAUAUCAAUAAGCGGAA
rnacentral:misc_RNA from 1 species